rnacentral:rRNA from 1 species
AGUGAACGCUGGCGGUAGGCCUAACACAUGCAAGUCGAACGGCAGCACAGUAAGAGCUUGCUCUUACGGGUGGCGAGUGGCGGACGGGUGAGGAAUACAUCGGAAUCUACUUUUUCGUGGGGGAUAACGUAGGGAAACUUACGCUAAUACCGCAUACGACCUACGGGUGAAAGCAGGGGAUCUUCGGACCUUGCGCGAUUGAAUGAGCCGAUGUCGGAUUAGCCAGUUGGCGGGGUAAAGGCCCACCAAGGCGACGAUCCGUAGCUGGUCUGAGAGGAUGAUCAGCCACACUGGAACUGAGACACGGUCCAGACUCCUACGGGAGGCAGCAGUGGGGAAUAUUGGACAAUGGGCGCAAGCCUGAUCCAGCCAUACCGCGUGGGUGAAGAAGGCCUUCGGGUUGUAAAGCCCUUUUGUUGGGAAAGAAAGGCAGCAGGUUAAUACCCCGCUGUUCUGACGGUACCCAAAGAGUAAGCACCGGCUAACUUCGUG